UACGAAGGGGGCUAGCGUUGUUCGGAAUUACUGGGCGUAAAGGGCGCGUAGGCGGCCUUGUUAGUCGAGUGUGAAAGCCCUGGGCUUAACCCGGGAAGCGCGCUUGAUACUGGAUGGCUUGAGUUUGGGAGAGGGACGCGGAAUUCCAGGUGUAGCGGUGAAAUGCGUAGAUAUGUGGAGGAACACCGAUGGCGAAGGCAGCCCCCUGGGUCAAAACUGACGCUCAUGCACGAAAGCGUGGGGAGCAAACAGG
rnacentral:rRNA from 1 species